AGCAGUGAUGUCUCUUGUAGAAGCAGCUCCGGCAAAUAUCUGUGCCGGCAGCUGCGGUCAUAUCGAAGGAGCGAGUGUUAUUCAGCGU
rnacentral:rRNA from 1 species